rnacentral:rRNA from 1 species
AUAAGGAGUUGGACCUGCCCAGUGAAAAUUUUCAACGGCCGCGGUACUCUGACCGUGCAAAGGUAGCAUAAUCAUUUGCCUUAUAAUUGAAGGCUAGUAUGAAUGGUUUGACAAGAAUAUAACUGUCUCUUUAUGAUUUAUUAGAAUUUUAUUUUAAGGUGAAGAAGCCUUAAUUAAAUUAAUAGACAAGAAGACCCUGUCGAGCUUUAAAAAACUUGAUAGAAUUAAUAUAAUUGAAGGAAAAAUUUAACUAUCAAAAAUUUUAGUUGGGGCGACUAAGGAACAAAUAGAGCUUCCUUUAUUACUUUAAAAUACAUGUAUUUAGAUCCAGAAAUUUUGAUUAAAAAAAUUAGUUACCGCAGGGAUAACAGCAUUAUCUUUUUUAAGAGUUCAUAUCGAAAAAAAGGUUUGUGACCUCGAUGUUGGACCAGAAUAUCCUAAAGAUGUAGAAGUCUUUAAGGGUUGGUCUGUUCGACCAUUAAAAUUCUA